ACCAACUCUGAAAAUAAAGUAGAUUGAUUUAAACAAUAACUUAAUGCAUGCUGUUACAAUGGAAAAGCAUUUGUACAUACAUUCUCAAUUUGGAUGCUCCAACUUGGCCACAACAGGCACUAUUUUCCUAUGACAAGAAGGGAACACAAGAGUUCUGGCAUGUCCGAUCAGAAGAACUAAUUUAUAGUAAUUACUGGAAAAUUCUAUUAUAGACUACUGCACAAGGAUGAGAACAAAAUUGAACAUUUUAAACAAAGUUAAGGGGGCUAGGAGGUUUAAAAUACAAUGCUCUUUGGGGCGCCUGGUUAUAUAGAAGACAGAUGAAUUGGGAUUAAUAAUUAAAAAAAAAAAAAAAAAUCCACGGACGCCUGGGUGGCUCAGUCGGUUGAGUGUCUGACUUCGGCUUAGGUCACGAUCUCGCAGUUUAGGAGUUCAAGCCCCGAGUCAGGCUCUGUGCUGACAGCUCGGAGCCCAGAGCCUGCUUUGGAUUCUGUGUCUCCCUCUCAAUCUCUCUCUCUCUCUCUCUCUCUCUCUGCCCCUCCCCUACUCAUGCUCUGUCUCUCCCUCUCUCUCU